GGUGUAGCUCAGUGGUAGAGCAUGUGCUUAGCAUGUGCAAGGCUCUGGGUUCCAUUCCCAGUACCA
rnacentral:tRNA from 1 species